rnacentral:rRNA from 1 species
AAUCAACGCUGGCGGCGCGCUUAACACAUGCAAGUCGAACGAGAAAGUGGAGCAAUCCAUGAGUAAAGUGGCGCACGGGUGAGUAACACGUGGGUAAUCUGCCCUCUGGUGGGGAAUAACUCUGGGAAACCGGAGCUAAUACCGCAUAAGAUCGAGAGAUGAAAGGUCGAAAGAUCGCCGGAGGAGGAGCCCGCGGCCGAUUAGCUAGUUGGUAGGGUAAGAGCCACCAAGGCUGAGAUCGGUAGCCGGCCUGAGAGGGCACACGGCCACACUGGCACUGAAACACGGGCCAGACUCCUACGGGAGGCAGCAGUGGGGAAUCUUGCACAAUGGGGGAAACCCUGAUGCAGCGACGCCGCGUGAGUGAUGAAGCCCUUC